UACGUAGGGUGCAAGCGUUAAUCGGAAUUACUGGGCGUAAAGUGUGCGCAGGCGGUUUUGUAAGUUUGUCGUGAAAUCCCCGGGCUCAACCUGGGAAUGGCGAUGAAGACUGCAAGGCUAGAAUCUGGCAGAGGGGGGUAGAAUUCCACGUGUAGCAGUGAAAUGCGUAGAGAUGUGGAGGAACACCGAUGGCGAAGGCAGCCCCCUGGGUCAAGAUUGACGCUCAUGCACGAAAGCGUGGGGAGCAAACAGG
rnacentral:rRNA from 1 species